UAUCUCUGUAGAGUCUGCAUAUCAAUAAGCGGAGGAAAAGAAACUAACAAGGAUUCCCUUAGUAACGGCGAGUGAAGCGGGAAGAGCUCAAAUUUGAAAUCUCCAAGGUUCUACCUUGACGAAUUGUAGUUUAAAGAAGUGUUUUCUGUUAGAUGAGUAGCAAAAGUUCCUUGGAAUGGGACAUCAUAGAGGGUGAGAAUCCCGUAUUUGGUUAUUCAUUCUAGCUUUGUGAUACACUUUCAAAGAGUCGGAUUGUUUGGGAAUGCAGUCCAAAAUGGGUGGUAAAUUUCAUCUAAAGCUAAUAUUGGCGAGAGACCGAUAGCGAACAAGUACCGUGAGGGAAAGAUGAAAAGAACUUUGAAAAGAGAGUUAAACAGUACGUGAAAUUGUCAAAAGGGAAGCGUUUGACACCAGUGUUGUUUUUCUCCGAAAAUCAAUUACAAAUGGCUUGAUUUUGUGUUGUAUUGACCUUAUCAGCUUUCUUCACUUUUUUCGAGUCUUUCUUAAUGCACUUUUCGGUUAACAAGUCAACAUCAAUUUCUUUUGUUGUAAAAGAGUAUUCGGAAGGUGGCUUUCUUUUCGGAGAAAGUGUUUAUAGCCCUAUACUUCUACAAUCGGAGAGAUUGAGGUCUGCAGCGUAGAUCCUUCGGGGUUAGAUACACUUGUGCUAAGUUGUAGCUUUUCAUAGACAACUUGUUGACUAUGUUUAGUCAUGCGGCUUACUCGCUUGUGCUAUUUACCUACGCUUAGGAUGUUGACUGAUAUGUAGUCGUA
rnacentral:rRNA from 1 species